GAUGAAGAACGUAGUGAAAUGCGAUAAGUAAUGUGAAUUGCAGAAUUCAGUGAAUCAUCGAAUCUUUGAACGCACCUUGCACCCUUUGGCAUUCCGAAGGGUAUGCUCGUUUGAGUGUCAUUGUACUCUCACACUCUCCGAUCCUAUGGAUUCGGGGAGCGGUGGACUUGGGUGUUGCUGCCUUUCCCUGUGGCUCACCUCAAAUGCGUCAGUGCACCUCUUGGUUGGACAUAGUACGGCGUGAUAAGUGUCUUCGCCGGCACCUCGCAAGAGGGUGGCCGAUCGGGAGCUCUGCGCUUUCAAACCGUCUUCGGACAAUUUCUGACAUCUUGACCUCAAAUCGAGUAGGACUACCCGCUGAACUUAAGCAUAUCAAUAAGCGGAGA
rnacentral:misc_RNA from 1 species